rnacentral:lncRNA from 1 species
CCAAAAUGUCGAAGGAAAGUACCGUCGAUGUUUGAGUCAGCCCGAUUGAUCUAGACUCGAAGGCAGAGAAAUGUUCAAGGUCCCCUCUAAGUGGCCCGGACGUAUUUGAGGUGGCUCCGAGGUGGACUUGGAGUGGCUCCGAGGUAGGGGUUCGACUUCCUGGGCACUUCCUACAUAAAGACUAGUGUCGGGAGAAGUUUCCUGACCCGAUCCCUCUGAUGCUCAAGUCAGUCCGAGGUUCCUUUUGGGGUAUGGGGUGUUCUCCAAAAAAAGUGUCCCUUAGGCCGACACUAGGGUGGUCAAUUGAGGGGGCACCUUGUAACGACCCCAUCGUCCCCCUUUGGCGUCUUGCCCACGGGGGCAAAAAGGGAGGACAAGCCCGAACGAUCUCCCGUGGACUAUUGUCCAUGGGGCUUGAGAAGCUAUAAUUGCCUCCCAUGUCGGCGACAAGGGGAGGAUGAUUAGGGCCCUUUCUUCCGCAUCAGCAUCCUCGAGGUGAUUAGUUGGUAGGUGGUGAUUGGCUGUCAAAAUAUUCUCUAUCAUCGAUGUUGUGCACCUUUAUGUUGUGGCCUGGAAUCGGCACUGUAUGGUCCAAUCUUGAAAGCGCAAGGUCAUCCAUGUGGCUUCUCAUGGGAAGAAAGAUAGGGGAGCGAGGUCGAGCCGAGGAGGUCGGCUCAGGGGCUACGAUCGAAUCUUCGAGGACGUCUUGAGGUGGCAUCACGUUGUGCUCAAUCUGCCAGGAUCCUACACGAUAGGUCAAUGUCGGGGGGAGGUUCCUAACCCGACCCCUCCUGUGGUUAAGUUUGUGAGUGUAGGUGUCUUUUUUUUGUCUCCCCUUAUCCCAGGAUAGGGAAUUGGUAUUUAUACAUGCGAAAAUGGCUCGGAAGUACGAUGAUUGAUAGUGACCACCGGUACCUCCCAAGGCAUGGUCACGCAGGCAACCGACCCGUAUGCCCCCUACGGCAUGGGUUGGCCCAUCCGGGUUUCUAGGGCACAACAUCGACUCGUAUAGUCCCGUGUGGCACGGGACCGGGUGGAAGGGUGCUGCCUACCAGGUUAGAGGCCUGCAUCAAUCAGAUGUCGGGUUGAGUUCCAUGUCAGCUCCACGGUGGCCGCCAACUAGCGAACUGUAGUUAGUGCGAGAAUAUUCCCUAUCAAUCGGCGAUGUUCGAAUCAGCUUAAUACGAUUCGGGCCCAUGUGCACAAGAGAGGUGAGAUAUCCGAAUCUUACUGUUGUUUUGGACUGAUGUCCAUGUGGCCUAGCUGUUGAUUGGGUCUUGCCCCCUCACUGCUGAUUGUGUUGCCAUGUGUCAAGCCACCAUUGGGGGAGAAGAUUUCCACUAUCACCUUUGCUUUGAAAAAAAAAUAAAAAGAUAUCUUAAUUAAUUUAUAGUGCCUACUCUGGUGCAUUCUUGUGUUUUUCCUUAAUUGAUUUGCCUCUGAUGAAGAUGGCAAGAUAUCAGUAAAUCAACCAUCUGCAAGCAACAUAAAUCUAUAUAGUGAAUCAGGACAACCAAGUUUACUUGCCGGCUUGCUGCAUCCAUGUUCAUUUCUACAAUGCAAGAAAUCGGCAGGAGAUGUAACUCUUAAGGUAUUUGCUUGUGCUGAAUCCCAAAGGAUUUUCGUCUUGUAUCUAACUUUUCUUUUUCUUUUUGUCUUGGACAGAUUGAGUUAAAGGUCCAUAAAUGGAGGCAGUAAGGAUUUGCAACAUUAUGUUGAGGUGAGUGAUUUUAUCCAUUUUGGAAGCUGGUCGACUUGGAUUGUUUAACCCUUGUUGUUUAACCCUUGAUUUUAUCCAUGCUGUGGCCUAGAGUCGGCACUGCUUGGUCCAAUCUUGAAAGCGCAAGGUCGUCC